rnacentral:lncRNA from 1 species
AUUAGAUUAACACAAGAGGAUUAUAUAAACACAGUGUAUUAUUUUUAUUAUUCUCAACUUAUCACAAUGGUCACCAUCCAACUUCUCAGUAGGAGUUAGGUUAAAGCUCACAGCUCACAGCACCCGUGGAGGCCAAAUCAUGCUGGGAUGGACCCUCUGUAUUUGCAGCCCAAACGUGUGUCUGUGAGCUGCAUGUGUUAAAACGUGUUUGCAUUUGGGAUGGGGACUGAGGAAGCAUCUGGGGACUGGACAGAAGAGUUUCCCCAGGAUGCAGUACUUUGAACAAACCAUGGAUUCCAGAAAAGACAUCUGUUUCCAUCAAGAACUAACAUGGAAUAAUAACAAAGAAGAUGUGGCCACAUGCUCUCAGGUAGAAACUGAAGGUCAAAGAAGAGAUAUGAGAAGGAGUUUUCCCAUCAAGGGAGGUCCUUUUCUGAUGGAUGACUAAGCCCUGAGAAAUGCUUAGAAAUAGGCAAGAGGGGAUGAAUGCUGCUCUACAUUCAGGUAGCUUUUUGGCUUGGCAAAACUUUAAAAUGUGAUGAAAUCUCUAGAGAGCAAGAAAAAAAAGAUACAGAAAUGGAAAAACCCUUAUGGACCCCAACAACAACAACAACAACAAAACUGUUCUCUAUUACCAUGGUCCCAUCUAUUCCUAUUGAAAUGUAGACCAAGAUGGAUAAGAUGAAUAUUGUAUGUUGACACAGCAAAAUAAUCUGCAGUAACAAAGCCAUGCCUUUGCUUCCUAAAGUUAUCAGAAUGGCACCUUAAAAUUAUGGUCAUAAAGGAACCUGUGAUUGGCCAUACGUUUGAGUUUUCAAGAAGAGAUCUUACACGGAACAUGAGAAAACUACAGUGACUCUCUUGAGAUUUUUCGAAUGACACACAAGCACCAAAGAGGAACUUUUGCCUUUUCGGACAAGUUAAGUACAUUAAAUAUAAUAAGGUCUGAUAAAUCAGAAACAAAAAGUGAAAUUCAUGUUAAGGCCUCAACUCAGUGUUUUAGAAGAGAAUUUUUCUGGGUUUUAUAGUAUCUGACAGUUAAUAGGCCAGGCACAGUGGCUCACACCUGUAGUCUCAGCACUUUAGAAGACAGAGACAAGUGGAUCUCUUGAG